UUAAGCUAAGUCUAUGUGCUGCUUGCUUGAGUAUUCGUGCGUUACAUUAAUAAAACUAUGAAUGUUAGGUUAUAGUGUUAUUCAGGACUUGGUAGUAAUAUGAAAUUAGUUAGUUCAUGUGAAGUUAGUUUAGCUCAGGUACACACCGC
rnacentral:rRNA from 1 species